UGCAUCCAAACAUCUGGAUUGAAGAAUCGAAUGAGGUGCUGAAGAUGAGAUGAUCCAUCAAGUGGACAAGGUUCCAAUUAGAUAUUGAACCUUGUUGAUGUUCAGUGUCAUAUAUGAGAUGAUUUCAACAAGAACAAUCCCCAAUGACUCGAAGAAAGAUUCUAAUAGACCUUCAAUGAAUGCUUCUACAGAAGCAAUUCGUGAGAAUUUUAGUAUACUAGUAGAAUGGGAUCUUUUUAUUAAAAUUUUGACCAAUCGGAGAAAAAAUGUCUCAAAUUAUUUGGCUAAAUGGAUGGACCUCCACCAUUUUCUUUGAAAGCAUUCCUCAACAGCAAAAUGAUGAUGGUGUUUGAACUUACUGCUAACAGGCAGUUCCAGGUUGUUCCAUUCUCCCCAGUCUCCUUGGGCUAUAUUCAUGGUUUGCGGUGUAAGCUUCUGUCAUGGGAGAAUAGUUCUCAAAGGCCUGCAAUGUGUAAAGGCUAGACGGCUAGGCCAUGUAUGUGUUCGUUUCUUCUUGUCAUUUGGUCAAGUGUGCCUUGUCCUUCUUAACUGGCCAAAUGAUGUAUUUGGUAAUGUUGUUUAAGUUAGCUCGUUGUUGUUGUUGUUGUUGUUGUUGAUGACGAUGAUGAUGAUGGUGCUUGUGUUUCAUGCUAUCCUAUAUUAGACAUAUUUCAUGCCUGCAUGCUGUUUCAUGCUAUCCUAUAUACUGACAGUUUUCUUGUACUCCACAAACUUCUGCAUAUGUCUAUUUGAUAACAGAUUUUUGCCCAGGUGGGGAGCUAUUUGCUUUGCUUGACAAACAGCCUAUGAAGAUUUUCAAAGAGGAAGCUGCAAGUUGAUAAUUGGAUACUCCAAGGUUGUUCUUGCAUAUCUUUUGUAGCCAUGGUCACAAAAAUACCGUGCUCUAUGUCAAGUGGAAUCAAAAUGGUGACUGGGUGCUAACUGCCUCUAAGGAUCAAAUCAUUAAGGUUUGUGUUACUGCCACUACUAAAGCCAUUAUUUGUUGCUACCUUGAUUAAGAUUUUUUUCCCAUCUUUUCAUCCUUUCCAAAUCAUGUUUUCUCUCAUUCUUUUCUUUUAAGGGAACCAUAUUUUAUAGUUCUUGUAACCAACUGUUCUAUGGAUUUUUUAUUUUUUUUUUACAGGAUUUAUGUUGGCAUUAUCCAUAAAUUUUGUUAGCUAGAACUUUAUUUUACCAAAUUGUUUCAUUUUUAUGGAUAUUUCUACAUCUAAGAUUCUUAUUACUAGGAAAUUUGCACUAAUCUAAAAUCAUACUUUUAGUACUAUUUAUAGAUUAUUGUUGCUUCAAGACCUCCCAUUUGAAAUGCAUUAUUGUUUUAUAAUGAGCCUCCUGGUUAGGAAACUUGAUGCGAUCUUCCAAUGC